UUCAAUACGUUGGGUUCAUUUCAUUUUCAUGACAACCCUAUAUGGGAAAAUGUUGUGAAAAUGAAAUGAGCCCAGCCCAUUGAA
ensembl:miRNA